UACGUAGGGUGCAAGCGUUAAUCGGAAUUACUGGGCGUAAAGCGUGCGCAGGCGGUUUUGUAAGUUUUGUCGUGAAAUCCCCCGGGCUCAACCUGGGAAUGGCGAUGAAGACUGCAAGGCUAGAAUCUGGCAGAGGGGGGUAGAAUUCCACGUGUAGCAGUGAAAUGCGUAGAGAUGUGGAGGAACACCGAUGGCGAAGGCAGCCCCCUGGGUCAAGAUUGACGC
rnacentral:rRNA from 1 species